CCUACGGGGAGCAGCAGUGUGGAAUAUUGCACAAUGGGGGAAACCCUGAUGCAGCAACGCCGCGUGAGUGAAGAAGUAUUUCGGUAUGGAAAGCUCGAUCAGCAGGGAAGAGAAUGACGGUACCUGACUAAGAAGCCCCGGCUAACUACGUGCCAGCAGCCGCGGUAAUACGUAGGGGGCGAGCGUUAUCCGGAUUUACGGGGUGUAAAGGGAGCGUAGACGGUUCUGCAAGUCUGAAGUGAAAGCCCGUGGCUUAACCGCGGAACGGCUUUGGAACCUGUGGAACUGGAGUGCUGGAGAGGCCAGCGGCAUUCCUCGUGUAGCGUUGAAAUGCGUAGAUCUUAGGCGGAACACCAGUGGCGAAGGCGGCUUUCUGGACAGUAACUGACGUUGUGGCUCGAAAGCGUGGGGAGCACACAGGAUUAGAUACCCUGGUAGUC
rnacentral:rRNA from 1 species